rnacentral:rRNA from 1 species
CACGGGUGGCUGCAGUGGGGAAUAUUGGACAAUGGGCGAAAGCCUGAUCCAGCCAUGCCGCGUGUGUGAAGAAGGCCUUCGGGUUGUAAAGCACUUUCAGUGGGGAAGAAAGCCUUGGGGCUAAUACCCUCGAGGAAGGACAUCACCCACAGAAGAAGCACCGGCUAACUCCUUGCCAGCAGCCGCGGUAAUACGGAGGGUGCGAGCGUUAAUCGGAAUUACUGGGCGUAAAGCGCGCGUAGGCGGUCUGAUAAGCCGGUUGUGAAAGCCCCGGGCUCAACCUGGGAACGGCAUCCGGAACUGUCAGGCUAGAGUGAAGGAGAGGAAGGUAGAAUUCCCGGUGUAGCGGUGAAAUGCGUAGAGAUCGGGAGGAAUACCAGUGGCGAAGGCGGCCUUCUGGACUGACACUGACGCUGAGGUGCGAAAGCGUGGGUAGCAAACAGGAUUAGAUACCCUUGUAGUC